rnacentral:pre_miRNA from 12 species
GGUGGCAGGCCAGUUAAGUGAAUGCUUUGCCACAGUCUUAGAAAUGGAAUAAGCUGGGCUGAGGUUCACUUAGGCUGGAGGCUAUA